GGGACCCUCUUUCAACCAUCCUUAAAAGAGGUGGUUCAGAUCCAGGGAUGAGGCCCUGGGCCCCUGACGGACCCCAACAGUGGUGGCCACCGUCUGCCCAAAUGAGAGGGAUACAAAGGGCCCUGAGGGAAGCACUGGUGUAUUUUUAAAACAGAAAUUUCUCAAAAACAGGAAGCAUGCGCCUGUCUGUGAUGGACGCACCCACUCCUAGGUAUUCACCCAAGGGGAAACCACCAGGCCCGGCACAGCCUUGGCCCCAAAGGUUGCCACAGCUUCGCCCCAAGGGCCCCGACUGGAAGCAAUCGGAGGACACUCACGGCAGCUGCCCGGACCACGGAGUGAAACCCAGCGGUCACAAGGGAGGACAGCAGGUGACACCACAGUCUGGAAAGCAGCUCUAAGCAUCAGGACCUCACAGAGCACGGGGCGCACGCAGUCAUGCCGAGGGCUGACCUUGGAGCCUGUUCUCACUGAAGGAUGACACAGAGACACUUGUAGGCAGUGAGAUUGCUGCCGGCUUCCUUCUUUCUUCUGCUGGGUGACAAGUCAAGGUGACGACGGAGGGAGAGUCGUGACUGGGUAACCUGAGGGACUUUUCUUUUUCUUGGCACCAGGGACUGAUCCCAGGGGCACUUGACCAAUGAGCCCCACCCUAGCCCUUCUCCUGUUUUAUUUGGAGACAGGGUCUGAGGUGCUUAUGGCUGAGGCUGCUUUGAACUCGCGAUCCUCCUGCCUCAGCCUCCCUAGCCACUGGGAUGACAGGUGCGUGAUACACGCCCAGCUUCAGGGACUUUUAAUGACAUUUAAACCUAAGUUUGGGGUUUCCCUAAGGCAGGAUUCAUACAGGAAACGCAGGCCCCUCUUCCUCCUAGCACAGGGGGAGAAAAAUAAACACCACCUGCCGGUCACUCUCAGAGCCCCGCCUGACACCUGGGGAUGGAGACCCACCAGCGUCGUGCCCAAAGCCCAGCCACCCACCACUCACCGCGGCCGUGGGCUCCUCAGGAUGCGCGGGGCUGGGCACAGCGGUCUUCUCACACCUGAUGUCGCUACUGGAGGCUGAACUUGAAAACCUGGCACAGAGACCCGAGUCACUCGCAUGGAGCCAGCAGCCGGGACUCCCGGGCCCCCAGUAGCCCACUCUGCUUCCAGCUCAGGAGGCGGUGAGAUCACAGGCCUCCAGGGCCAAGCCACAGGACACCUCCUGAGGGUCGCCAAAGGAGGGGGCGGGGGCAGGGCCUACGCAGGCAGAGCAUGGGGUGGAAGGCGCCCAGGCCGGGUGCAGACACCCAGUGCUGUCCCAGCUCAGGCCUGGGACCUCACCUGAGCCUGUUUCCUGUCUAUAAAGUGGGGAUAAUGA